rnacentral:rRNA from 1 species
AUGUUCGGGCAAAAUAACCAUGCACCUGUCUGCCUAGGCCUGCUACCCAACGGAAACUUCAAAAAGGAACCCGAGAAGUCACAGUUGAAGAACGGCACGGUGGUCACGGGAAGCUACUCGGUACCAUACUGGGAGACUUCAGGGUUCAUCGAGUACAUCGAGUCAGGGCACAAGCAGGACGACAUGAUCUUGGCGGUGCCCGAGGGAGCCAACGCCUUGCGUCUGGCAACGCGCCACCAUCCGGACGCAGUUCAAUGUCACCCGUCACAUGUACUACUCCAUCACCUUGAUCGCCGCUCGGUCGUGCGCCCAGGAAGAGAAGCUCAACGUGUCGGUCGCCCCCAACUCCGGCAUGCUUCCCAUCCAGAGCGUGUACACCAACACCGGCUGGGACUCCUCUUCCUGGGCCUUCAGGGCGAAGCAUAG